rnacentral:misc_RNA from 1 species
UUCAAACGUACAACAUCCCAAAAUAGCGAACCGACUAAGCUUACACCUAAAGCACCAAAAAAUUAACUAAGUGGUGUAUUGCGUUCCCGUUCCCACAUCGUGUUCCAAGUAACUAUGGUGGCAACACAGGUGGUUUCAUAUCUGUAGGGACAUUACAGUUGUUUGCAGAUGAAAUUGAUAAGAGUCCCACCCUUGAAGAAGAUGGCGCAUUAAUGAUGGUAAAAACUAAAACUUAAAUGAAACAAUGUUAUAGAUAAAUUUAUACCUCCAUUUGAAAACUGCUAUGCGGCAGAACCCUACUAUUCAAUAUAGCUGAGAAUAUAGA